GCAAAACGCGAAGAACCUUACCCACCUUUGACAUGUACGGAAUCCUUUAGAGAUAGAGGAGUGCUCGAAAGAGAGCCGUAACACAGGUGCUGCAUGGCUGUCGUCAGCUCGUGUCGUGAGAUGUUGGGUUAAGUCCCGCAACGAGCGCAACCCUUGCCAUUAGUUGCUACAUUUAGUUGAGCACUCUAAUGGGACUGCCGGUGACAAACCGGAGGAAGGUGGGGAUGACGUCAAGUCCUCAUGGCCCUUAUAGGUGGGGCUACACACGUCAUACAAUGGCUGGUACAAAGGGGUUGCCAACCCGCGAGGGGGAGCUAAUCCCAUAAAGCCAGUCGUAGUCCGGAUCGCAGUCUGCAACUCGACUGCGUGAAGUCGGAAUCGCUAGUAAUCGUGGAUCAGAAUGUCACGGUGAAUACGUUCCCGGGUCUUGUACACACCG
rnacentral:rRNA from 1 species